rnacentral:rRNA from 1 species
CAGCGCCACAAGUAGCAAUCACGUUUAUUGGGCCUAAAGCGUCCGUAGCCGGUUUAGCAAAUCUUUUGUGAAAUCGUCAGGCUUAACUUGACGAAUUGCAGAAGACACUACUAAACUAGGGACUGGGAGGAGUCAGAAGUAUUCUGGGGGGACCGGUAAAAUGGUAUAAUCCCCAGAGGACUACCGAUGGCGAAGGCAUCUGACCAGAACAGAUCCGACGGUGAGGGACGAAAGCCAGGGGAGCAAACCGGAUUAGAUACCCGCGUAGUCC